rnacentral:rRNA from 1 species
GACGAACGCUGGCGGCGUGCUUAACACAUGCAAGUCGAACGGAAAGGCCCUGCUUUUGUGGGGUGCUCGAGUGGCGAACGGGUGAGUAACACGUGAGUAACCUGCCCUUGACUUUGGGAUAACUUCAGGAAACUGGGGCUAAUACCGGAUAGGAGCUCCUGCUGCAUGGUGGGGGUUGGAAAGUUUCGGCGGUUGGGGAUGGACUCGCGGCUUAUCAGCUUGUUGGUGGGGUAGUGGCUUACCAAGGCUUUGACGGGUAGCCGGCCUGAGAGGGUGACCGGCGACAUUGGGACUGAGGUACGGCCCAGACUCCUACGGGAGGCAGCAGUGGGGAAUAUUGCAGAAUGGGCGGAAGCCUGAUGAAGCAACGCCGCGUGCGGGAUGACGGCCUUCGGGUUGUAAAACGCUUUCGCCUGUGACGAAGCGUGAGUGACGGUAAUGGGUAAAGAAGCACCGGCUAACUACGUG